AGCUUAGCUAUAUUUUAGAUCUUAUUUCGUCAUUUAUAAUUUAACGUUUUUAUUAACAACAAAUUUUAUUCGAAAACUAAAUUUAUUAUAACACUUUAUAAAAGAAUUAUUUUGGAAAUUAAUUUUAAUGAAAGUCAUUAUUUUAUUUUCUUUAAUUUUGAUGUUCAAAUAUAGUAAUAAAAAUUCUGAAAAUUACCCCAACUUUUCAUAUUUACCAAAAUGCCCUUCUUGACCCAAUUAUAAACCAAGUCAACUCUUCCUUCUCCUCUUCUCUGUCGUGAACAACUGGCAGCCAUGGUGCUUGCCAUCUAAACUUCCUCUAAUGUCUUUAGCCUUGCUGAUUCACUACCUAAACUACUAGAUUUCAUUACUCAUCACCCACUUUUCUGUAUUUCCUUACAUUUGUCAACUUGAGCUUUUGACAUUGAUAUCAUCAGUUCAUCACUUAGGUAAAUGGCCAACUUCUUAUUACUAUAAAUAGUUCUUCAAUUUCUCAAUUAAUCUGCAAAAUAAAAACUUUCUAUUUCAAGUUUUCAGUUUUCACCAUUGAUAAACAUGGUGUUCUUCACCAUCAUCUUCGUUUCAUUUUCAGAACACCACCACCACCACCAUUAACCACCACCGGAAACCACCAAAAACCGUCACCAGAAACGCCAAACCCCACCUCGCUUCUUCCUUUCUUCCGACCGUCGGUACACCGCCCAACUCCCCUGCCUUUCUCCACCUCGCUACUCCCUCCCUGCCUCUCUUUUCGCGGUAGCACCACGCCCACCACCGCCAGCGUCGCCCCCCCCCCCCCCCCAUUCUGUCCCGUUCCGUUUGUCUCACCGUCGACCAACCACCCAGAACCACCGCAGACAUUCCUUUCCCCCCCUCACCGUCCUUUUCUCCUCCUCUCUCGCACUUCCCUGCCUCCCUCUCUCCUCCGCGUUCGAGCAGCAGCCCAGCCACCAGAACCACCCUUCUGGCGUGCUUCCACCUCCCUGCCCAGCAUCGCGUCGCACCUCGCCGCCGGCCGCCGGCCACCGCCCAGCCGCCCAUCUUUCUCCUUCCUUCUUUUCGUUCGAUCCCUGCUCUUUGCGUGCAUUUGGUUUCCAGAAACCAAAGUUCCUAUUGGAACUUUUGGUUUUAUUCACUCAAAGUCAGCCCACCCAACUUAUAAAACUAGGCCCACUAAUAUUGAGUAAGUAUUACUGCUUUUCAAUAUUGAUUUUUGCUGAUUUAUGUUUUAUAAGAAUAAUUUUGGUUAAGUACUUUAACAUUCUUAUAAAGGAAUUUUAUAAAUGACUCAAUAUCUACCAAUUAUUCUUUUUACAUAAAGAAAUUUAUAUAUUUAAAUUAUUAGUUUUAUUAAAAUAGAAUUACUAAGUCAAUAAUUAUUAUUUUAUAAGAUCUCGAUUCUCGGAGCUCAGGAAGAACGAACCAGCGAAAAGGCUUAGCAAAUUGUGGAACUGAGGUACUGCUGGGGACCACGGGAACGAGUAGUGGCGAGGAUUUCACUAUUACCAAGUUCACCUAAGUUAAUGUUAAGUUGUAUCAAGUUUCAGUAAAGAUUCGAGAUUAAGUUAUGUACUUUGAUUAAGGAAUUGAGAAGGAUGAUUAUGUGAAUUUUGGAGUUUAAUAGCUUAUGAUUGAUAGUUGCCUUGUAAUUCCCAAGAGGGAGUUACGGCGGGUAA